AUUGAACGCUGGCGGCAGGCCUAACACAUGCAAGUCGAGCGGAUGAAGGGAGCUUGCUCCUGGAUUCAGCGGCGGACGGGUGAGUAAUGCCUAGGAAUCUGCCUGGUAGUGGGGGAUAACGUCCGGAAACGGGCGCUAAUACCGCAUACGUCCUGAGGGAGAAAGUGGGGGAUCUUCGGACCGCACGCUAUCAGAUGAGCCUAGGUCGGAUUAGCUAGUUGGUGGGGUAAAGGCCUACCAAGGCGACGAUCCGUAACUGGUCUGAGAGGAUGAUCAGUCACACGGGAACUGAGACACGGUCCAGACUCCUACGGGAGGCAGCAGUGGGGAAUAUUGGACAAUGGGCGAAAGCCUGAUCCAGCCAUGCCGCGUGUGUGAAGAAGGUCUUCGGAUUGUAAAGCACUUUAAGUUGGGAGGAAGGGCAGUAAGUUAAUACCUUGCUGUUUUGACGUUACCAACAGAAUAAGCACCGGCUAACUUCGUG
rnacentral:rRNA from 1 species